CUCUCAAGAGCUCAAUGGAGUCCCGUUUCAAGGUAAGUUGUGCGGAGAGGUACACUCAACACUGGCGGCGAAGGGAAAUGCAAGAAGCAAAAAGAAAUGUGGAGACAGCAACGUGGGAGGGUUGGAACUGUACUAUCAGAGUUUGCGAUAUGGCACAAUCUCCUUUCCUCUUAAAUCUUUCAGCUUCAGAUAGAUUCAUUUCCUUUGCCAUCACUGCUGCAUCUAUGGCAUAUUUCUUUAUAACAUUAAACUCUGUCCGAGGCACAUGCCUUUUUGAAAGGAAUUCCUUUACCUAUUUACAACUAGUCGACAUCUUUGAGAAUGCCGGAAAAAGAAGACACAGGUAAGAGUUAGAGACUGCAAAAUGGUGGGGUGUCAUGGAGGGGAAUGGGGCAGAUGAUAAAAUGACUUGGAAGUGAGGAAUACAGUAAAUCGGUGUUCUUUGAGAGUGUCCUUGAGUGUUGAUAAAUGAUUAAUGGUGAAUAAAAGACCUGUUUAUCUCCCGUGUAGCCUGUAUAAUAAUAUAUGAGUUCUAUUACUUUGCAUGACAAUAACUGGGGGUUGAGAAAGAAGGCUUGAAUCUAUGCUAUCUUAUAAUUAGCAUGUAUAAAAUCAUGCCUUAACCUCUAACAGAGUCUUAAUUUCAACUUAAAACUAUUCUCUAGACCUGGGUGAAACUCAAAGCAAGAAGAAAGAAAAACAGUUUGAUGAAAUGGAGUCAAGGGGGAAAAGACAGAAAGAGUAGAUGUAUGAAUAACAGAAGAUUGGGUUUGUAGUCUGCCUUCAAUCUCUUCCCCCUCAUCCCCAGCUUCAUACAGAGAAAUAAACUUUAAAUGAAUACAAUUUGGGGAAAGUAUAAUACUGUUUGAUUUAAUCAGACUUACCUAUGAAGUGAAUUGUCUUUCUUUCUUGUUACCACACUCUUAAAUUAAUACUGAAUUAGUUGCGUAUGCUCAUAUAAUUUCAGUAUGUUGAAGUAAAUCUUUACCAUUACAAUUAUAUAAGUGCCUUCUAACUAGGUGGAAAUUAAUACUUUGUUUUAUUGUUUGGUACAUGUUUAUAUCCACAAGAAAUAUUUGUAGAUAACUGCGGUAUAUUUUCCAAAAUGAUAAGGACAGGUGUGGAAAGCUGGUAGUGAUACGGAGUAAUAAAAAUCUAGCAUGUGUAUUAUGUAAAAAAACUACAUAGAAAAUAGUAAACUUGUUCAUUCAAAUGCAAAUUGAUAAAUUCUGUAGAUUCAGUAUUUAUGGGUUUUUUCCAGCUUGGGCAGAGGGACAAAAUAUUAUUCAAAGUAUUGUCAUCCCUAACAUGUUGUCUUUUUAUGUAGGUAACAUGGACUUAAAUUAUUUUUAAAAAAUGAAAGUAUCUUAAAAUGCUGUUUUACUUCCUCAUUUAAACAGAUGUUUUUACAUUUCAAAACUUUUAAUUGGAUAGAGGUAUCAUAAGCAACAUGUACUUUUUCAACUUUUAAAAAUAAAAAAAUAUUGAUUACAGCCACUUUAAAACAAAAGUUAUAUCUGGAUGUAGAUUUCACUUUGAAAUUCAUGUGUCAUAGCUUGAAACAUUAACAAAUACAUACUAUCCUGUGAUUAAUUAAUGAAGGCUGUGUGCAAAUAUCUCAUUUUAGAAUAAGCAAAAAAUACAGUCAACCCCUCUUCACUCAUGGUUAGGUAAAAGAAUUAUCCGUAACAUCUGAACUGGCACUAGAUAAGCACUUAAAAGACAUUUGAGUAUGAUUAAGUCAUAUGAACUCUGAUAUAUCU
ensembl:lincRNA